GCAAACGACGGCAAUGUUGCCAGAUUCCUUUUAGCGGGAAUUUUAAAAUUUUAUAGCAGUUUGGUUUUAAAUUUGACAGUUCUGUUUUCUCAAGUCAAAAAUCUUAACCUAACUUUUACAAGUGAUUAGGAUUAUUAUUAUUUUAUUUACAUGUAAAUUGAAACAAUAAAUAUUGUGCUGUCAUAAUUUCAAACUCAUUAUGUUACAGUCUUUUCCAGUUGAUAAAAUUGCAAUUCAAAAACUUUUAGAUUUGCACUGUAUGGAGAACAAGAGUACAAGAACAUGAAACAUCUUAUUAUAAAUGUAUAUGUAUGUGAUCCUCAAAAAUGAUUUUACAAAACAAGAUAGAGAAAGAGCACAAUUUUAAAAAGCACAGAAACAAUUUUAAAACACAUUACGGGCAUGAGGAUGAUAUAGAGCACUUACAUAAAUACCAAAACCAGAUAAAUAUCUCUUCAACGUUUAUUUUGAGACUUUCUUCAAAAAUUAAACUUCAGACUGUUCAGGAUAGCAUAAUAGCAUAGGAGGCGAAUUAAAAAGAAUUGAUUUACUUACAACAAAAGAUAUCACAAACAUUAAACUCUCUUAUGGCAUUGAUUUGAAAGAUGGCUAUAUGUACAAUGAUGAUGCAACCAGUGUUUAUUUUUGGGUUGAAUGCUUACAGACUCAUUUCCAAUAUUAUUUUACAAACAACAGGGCAUACUAAUGGAUAUUCAUUCUGAAUUUAACAUUUAUGAUUUUUGUCUUAUUUUCUUUAAUACUGUGCCAAAAGGAAAUGUUAAUUAAGUUUGGUAAAUCCUUUAUCACAAUCGAUGGAACUCGUGGGCUCAAUUCCUAUGACUUUGAACUUAUGACAGUAUUAGUAAAAGAUGAAUUUGGGAAUGGAUUUUGUACUGCUUUCUUAUUUUCAAAUAGAAAAGAUACCUACUUUAAUUUACCAAUUUUUUUAUAUACAUGUCUGUGUUGGUAUUAUAUGUAUAGUCAAAUGUUUUCAUAUCAGGCAUAAGCGACACCUUUUACAAUGCCUCAUCAAAUGUAAUGGGUAUUGCUCCUACUAGACUGUUAAGUGCCUGGCACAUAGAUAGGGCAUGGUAAGUAAAUCUUAAUAAAAUAUCUGAUUCUGAAAAAAAUCCUAUUAUGUAUACAAGAUGUAUUAAUGAUGGUUUAGAGAGUAUUAAUAGCUUUUUGGGUAGACUUCUAAGUGAUGCAGAUACAUACAAUUUUAGUAAGUAUUUCCAGUAGAACUACUGCAAUAACAUCCAACAAUGGGUCUAUUGUUAUAGGAAGGGGUUGUGGAAUUAAUACCAAUAUGACCAUUCAAAAUUUUCAUAAAAUUUUGGAUAAAAGGGUAUCCAUUAGUUGUUAUCAGUUAAGUUUAAAACUUGGCACUCAUGGAGAGCUAUACCAUAAUAUAUAAUAGGUAUAUCUCAUAAUAUUACAUCUCAUAUUGUUCACUACAGUAGUAAUGAGUGAGCCUGCAUACACAGAACCAUAAUAAUAUAUUAUAGUUCGUGUAUGCAGGCUCACUCAUUACAAUAGUGAGCAAUAUGAGAUAUAACAUAUUAUAGUAUAAGUCUCUGUGCAUGACCAGAUUAACAUGUUUGGUGCCCAUCUCGAACAAGCUCCACUUGGCUGGUACCACAUACUUAAAUCAUUUAUUUAGUUACACAGUACUACUCACAUAACUUAUGUGUCGUCAGUACCUUCCGUAAAACCUUCGUGAUGCUACCCAUACGUCAUGGCCACUGAAUGUGUUAAAGCUUGUUAAUGUAGGAGAGGUAUACUAAAAUAUAUAUCUUAUAUUAUAUUGCCUUAAAUAGAAAAAAUAUCUUAUUUAAAUUGUAUCCAUGUAAGUUUUGAUUUAAUGAAAUAAACCUUUUAAUCAAAAAAGUGUUGUU
rnacentral:lncRNA from 1 species